UGGCUCAGAUUGAACGCUGGCGGCAGGCCUAACACAUGCAAGUCGAGCGGAUGACAGGAGCUUGCUCCUGGAUUCAGCGGCGGACGGGUGAGUAAUGCCUAGGAAUCUGCCUGGUAGUGGGGGACAACGUUUCGAAAGGAACGCUAAUACCGCAUACGUCCUACGGGAGAAAGCAGGGGACCUUCGGGCCUUGCGCUAUCAGAUGAGCCUAGGUCGGAUUAGCUUGUUGGUGAGGUAAUGGCUCACCAAGGCGACGAUCCGUAACUGGUCUGAGAGGAUGAUCAGUCACACUGGAACUGAGACACGGUCCAGACUCCUACGGGAGGCAGCAGUGGGGAAUAUUGGACAAUGGGCGAAAGCCUGAUCCAGCCAUGCCGCGUGUGUGAAGAAGGUCUUCGGAUUGUAAAGCACUUUAAGUNNNAGGAAGGGUUGUAGAUUAAUACUCUGCAAUUUUGACGUUACCGACAGAAUAAGCACCGGCUAACUCUGUGCCAGCA
rnacentral:rRNA from 1 species